UGGGGAAUAUUGGACAAUGGGGGAAACCCUGAUCCAGCAAUGCCGCGUGAGUGAAGAAGGCCUUAGGGUUGUAAAGCUCUUUCGCCCGCGAAGAUAAUGACGGUAGCGGGAGAAGAAGCCCCGGCUACCUCCGUGCCAGCAGCCGCGGUAAUACGGAGGGGGCUAGCGUUGUUCGGAAUUACUGGGCGUAAAGCGUACGUAGGCGGAUGCGCAAGUUGGGGGUGAAAUCCCGGGGCUUAACCUCGGAAUUGCCCUCAAAACUGCACGUCUUGAGACCGAGAGAGGUAAGGGGAAUUCCUAGUGUAGAGGUGAAAUUCGUAGAUAUUAGGAAGAACACCAGUGGCGAAGGCGCCUUACUGGCUCGGUACUGACGCUGAGGUACGAAAGCGUGGGGAGCAAACA
rnacentral:rRNA from 1 species